rnacentral:lncRNA from 1 species
GCUAACUCUUUCUGGCCGCUACAAAGAAGAAAAAGAGCCCACAGGAAAGGUCUUGAACUGAGAAUGGACCCGGAGUUUAAAACAGAAAUGCUUGAAUUAUCUCGUUAUGCCAUGUUAUCUACUUUGUGGACAUUCCAAGCUCAGCUGGAUUGUGUUGAGGCAUGAUUUGAAGCAGGAAGAAUAAGAAAGCUUUGAGGAGGAAGGGCUGGCACCUAUGCAAGGAAAGCAAAACUACGUAGGAAUUCCUGAAGAGCUGCUUAGCGUGCCUCUUUAGUCAACAUGAAAAAGAAAGAAAAGAACAGGAAUGACCCUCUGAUGGCCUCAGG